GGACCUGACUGCUAUCGGAUUGAUACUAAGCCAUGCGAGUCAUUGUAGCAAUACAAGGCAUACGGCUCAGUAACGCGUAGUCAACCUAACCUAUGGACGGGAAUAACCUCGGGAAACUGAGAAUAAUGCCCGAUAGAACAUUAUGCCUGGAAUGGUUUAUGUUCCAAAUGAUUUAUCGCCGUAGGAUGGGACUGCGGUCUAUCAGUUUGUUGGUGAGGUAAUGGCCCACCAAGACUAUUACAGGUACGGGCUCUGAGAGGAGUAGCCCGGAGAUGGGUACUGAGACACGGACCCAGGCCCUAUGGGGCGCAGCAGGCGAGAAAACUUUGCAAUGUGCGAAAGCACGACAAGGUUAAUCCGAGUGGUUUCUGCUAAAGAAACCUUUUGUCAGUCCUAGAAACACUGAUGAAUAAGGGGUGGGCAAGUUCUGGUGU
rnacentral:rRNA from 1 species